rnacentral:rRNA from 1 species
GACGAACGCUGGCGGCGUGCUUAACACAUGCAAGUCGAACGGUGAAGCGCCUUCCUUUUUGGUGGGUGUGGAUGAGUGGCGAACGGGUGAGUAACACGUGAGUAACCUGCCCCCUUCUUCUGGAUAACCGCAUGAAAGUGUGGCUAAUACGGGAUAUUCUGGGUCUGUCGCAUGAUGGGUCUGGGAAAGAUAUUGUUUCGGUGGGGGAUGGGCUCGCGGCCUAUCAGCUUGUUGGUGGGGUGAUGGCCUACCAAGGCGGUGACGGGUAGCCGGCCUGAGAGGGUGGACGGUCACACUGGGACGGAGACACGGCCCAGACUCCUACGGGAGGCAGCAGUGGGGAAUAUUGCACAAUGGGCGCAAGCCUGAUGCAGCGACGCCGCGUGAGGGAUGGAGGCCUUCGGGUUGUGAACCUCUUUCGCCAGUGAAGUAGGCCUGCCUCGUGUGUGGGUGGGUUGACGGUAGCUGGAUAAGAAGCGCCGGCUAACUACGUG